GGCGGUGGACAUGACGAAGCAGAACACAGAGACAAACAUCACCCAGCCUUGCACUAUGGGUAACGGGACCUUCGAGGAUGCCACCAAGAUCCAGACAAGGCCCCCAAAGACCUGCAAGCGAAAGUGGGAGAAAAGAUUCCUACACAAGAGGAUGAGAGCACGAUGUCCAACGCUAUGGAGUGUCCAAGCUGCAAGUGGUGCCUUUGCACUAAAAUGCACUCAGUAGCUUUUCUCUGCAGCAAAUCAGCGCAGUUGUUUCUUGAACCUGAGCAAAGUUUAGUCUACGCGGUGUCCUAUGACGCGGAGCUCCUCAGCUGAACCCACGCUGUGUGGAGAUCGGUCCUGCUGUGGGGACCUAUCCCUCAUCACUGCUUGGUCUCAAUUUUGCAGGCAAAUCUCCAGAGGAUGGUCCUUCACUGAGCAGCUUCCUCCAGCUGGGAAGUAACUCAACAAGUUCAUCCCUCCAGAAGAAUAAAAAUAUAUCCUGCUGUUAAGGAAAGAAUACAAGAACAGGAAAAUACACCUAAAACAGAGAAAACGUCAGUCUACCAAACUUCUGCUCUAUAGAGCAGCUUGGUUACAGCUUUGACUUUUCCAGUGUGCUGCUUUGGUCACACUUCAUUUUUUUGGACCCGACUGAGGAAGGUUACGGUCACAGAAAUCAUCAGACUCUGUAAAAAACACCAUCUGGAUUCUCUCUGUAUGAAAUGGCUUUGGCAAACAGUACGCCACUGGCCAACAGAAGCUGAAGUUCUCCAAAGGCAGAACAGUGGCCCAUCAUGAUGUUUUUAUUUUCAAUAUGUACAAUUUUUGAGAGAAACUUGUGACACGCAAUUGGCAAAAGAUUAUCCUGCAGCCAAAAGCAGUCCCGUGCCAGUUUGCAGCAAUCUCCAUUUUAAUUUAACCAAUUUUCUGAAUACCUUGCAAGAACAUUACAAUGCCUGAGUUCAGAUCUAAAUAGCAAACUUUGCUUCUGAUGUAAUUCAACCUCUCAAGAAUGGAUAUACAUACAUUUGUAUUCAAAAAGAAAAGAUUAAAAGCUGUAAGACCGCAAAACCAUAUUAAAGAGCUCUUUUUCCUGUAGGGACAGAAGCAUCAUCUAUUCGUGAAUCAUAAAUGCAGAACAAAAGAGUUCUCCCCGAGGCCAUCGAGUUGGUUUCUCUCCUCAAGAGGAGAGAGAAUCAAUUAAAGCACCCGACCCAGUGGUGACAAUGUGGGGGCUGAUGUUCCAGACUCUCAUGAAAAGAUGCUCCAUCUCUCUGACCCCUACUGCAGCACUCACCCAUCUGAGCACUCAGAAAGCUUUGCUUCCUGGCCUUAAUCCCAGCCUCUUGUUACAGAGGAGCCAGAAGCUCAUUACCUAUCUCUCUGCAGCAUUUCUUAUUUCUUUCCUCUUUCUCCCCAAAUUUUCCCUAGCCUAGA